AGAACGAACGCUGGCGGCAGGCCUAACACAUGCAAGUCGAACGCCGUAGCAAUACGGAGUGGCAGACGGGUGAGUAACGCGUGGGAACAUACCCUUCGGUUCGGAAUAACUCAGGGAAACUUGAGCUAAUACCGGAUACGUCCGAGGUUUUAAUCGACCUUGGAGAAAGAUUUAUCGCCGGAGGAUUGGCCCGCGUCUGAUUAGCUUGUUGGUGAGGUAAUGGCUCACCAAGGCGACGAUCAGUAGCUGGUCUGAGAGGAUGAUCAGCCACAUUGGGACUGAGACACGGCCCAAACUCCUACGGGAGGCAGCAGUGGGGAAUAUUGGACAAUGGGCGAAAGCCUGAUCCAGCCAUGCCGCGUGAGUGAUGAAGGCCUUAGGGUUGUAAAGCUCUUUACCCGGGAAGAUAAUGACGGUACCGGGAGAAUAAGCCCGGCUAACUUCGUGCCAGCAGCCGC
rnacentral:rRNA from 1 species